rnacentral:rRNA from 1 species
GAUGAACGCUGGCGGCGUGCCUAAUACAUGCAAGUCGAGCGAACAGACGAGGAGCUUGCUCCUUCGACGUUAGCGGCGGACGGGUGAGUAACACGUAGGUAAUCUACCUAUAAGACUGGGAUAACUUCGGGAAACCGGAGCUAAUACCGGAUAAUAUUUCGAACCGCAUGGUUCAAUAGUGAAAGAUGGCUUUGCUAUCACUUAUAGCUGGACCUGCGCCGUAUUAGCUAGUUGGUAAGGUAACGGCUUACCAAGGCAACGAUACGUAGCCGACCUGAGAGGGUGAUCGGCCACAUUGGAACUGAGACACGGUCCAGACUCCUACGGGAGGCAGCAGUAGGGAAGCUUCCGCAAUGGGCGAAAGCCUGACGGAGCAACGCCGCGUGAGUGAUGAAGGUCUUCGGAUCGUAAAACUCUGUUAUUAGGGAAGAACAAACGUGUAAGUAACUGUGCACGUCUUGACGGUACCUAAUCAGAAAGCAACGGCUAACUACGUG